rnacentral:rRNA from 1 species
CCUACGGGUAGCAGCAGUGAGGAAUAUUGGUCAAUGGGCGCGAGCCUGAACCAGCCAAGUAGCGUGAAGGAUGACUGCCCUACGGGUUGUAAACUUCUUUUAUAAAGGAAUAAAGUGAGGCACGUGUGCCUUUUUGUAUGUACUUUAUGAAUAAGGAUCGGCUAACUCCGUGCCAGCAGCCGCGGUAAUACGGAGGAGACGAGCGUUAUCCGGAUUUAUUGGGUUUAAAGGGAGCGUAGAUGGGUGUUUAAGUCAGUUGUGAAAGUUUGCGGCUCAACCGUAAAAUUGCAAUUGAUACUGGGAGUCUUGAGUACAGUUGAGGGAGGCGGAAUUCGUGGUGUAGCGGUGAAAUGCUUAGAUAUCACGAAGAACACCGAUGGCGAAGGCAGCUUACUAAACUGCCACUGACAUUGAUGCGCGAAAGUGUGGGUAGCAAACAGGAUUAGAUACCCGAGUAGUC